rnacentral:rRNA from 1 species
AGCGAACGCUGGCGGCAGGCUUAACACAUGCAAGUCAAGCGGGCAUAGCAAUAUGUCAGCGGCAGAUGGGUGAGUAACGCGUGGGAACGUACCUUUUGGUUCGGAACAACUGAGGGAAACUUCAGCUAAUACCGGAUAAGCCCUUACGGGGAAAGAUUUAUCGCCGAAAGAUCGGCCCGCGUCUGAUUAGCUAGUUGGUGAGGUAAUGGCUCACUAAGGCGACGAUCAGUAGCUGGUCUGAGAGGAUGAUCAGCCACAUUGGGACUGAGACACGGCCCAAACUCCUACGGGAGGCAGCAGUGGGGAAUAUUGGACAAUGGGCGUAAGCCUGAUCCAGCCAUGCCGCGUGAGUGAUGAAGGCCCUAGGGUUGUAAAGCUCUUUUGUGCGGGAAGAUAAUGACGGUACCGCAAGAAUAAGCCCCGGCUAACUUCGUGCCAGCCGCCGCCGUAACAC